CCAGACUCCUACGGGAGGCAGCAGUGGGGAAUAUUGCACAAUGGGCGGAAGCCUGAUGCAGCAACGCCGCGUGCGGGAUGACGGCCUUCGGGUUGUAAACCGCUUUCGCCUGUGACGAAGCGUGAGUGACGGUAAUGGGUAAAGAAGCACCGGCUAACUACGUGCCAGCAGCCGCGGUGAUACGUAGGGUGCGAGCGUUGUCCGGAUUUAUUGGGCGUAAAGGGCUCGUAGGUGGUUGAUCGCGUCGGAAGUGUAAUCUUGGGGCUUAACCCUGAGCGUGCUUUCGAUACGGGUUGACUUGAGGAAGGUAGGGGAGAAUGGAAUUCCUGGUGGAGCGGUGGAAUGCGCAGAUAUCAGGAGGAACACCAGUGGCGAAGGCGGUUCUCUGGGCCUUUCCUGACGCUAAGGAGCGAAAGCGUGGGGAGCGAACAGGCUUAGAUACCCUGGUAGUCCACGCUGUAAACGGUGGGUACUAGGUGUGGGGUCCAUUCCACGGGUUCCGUGCCGUAGCUAACGCUUUAAGUACCCCGCCUGGGGAGUACGGCCGCAAGGCUAAAACUCAAAGGAAUUGACGGGGGCCCGCACAAG
rnacentral:rRNA from 1 species